rnacentral:rRNA from 1 species
AACGCGAAGAACCUUACCAAGGUUUGACAUGGCCGGAAAAGCCGCAGAGAUGCGGUGUCCUUCGGGGUCGGUCACAGGUGGUGCAUGGCUGUCGUCAGCUCGUGUCGUGAGAUGUUGGGUUAAGUCCCGCAACGAGCGCAACCCUCGUCCUAUGUUGCCAGCGGGUCAUGCCGGGGACUCAUGGGAGACUGCCGGGGUCAACUCGGAGGAAGGUGGGGAUGACGUCAAGUCAUCAUGCCCCUUACGCGUAGGGCUGCUAACAUGCUACAAUGGCCGGUACAAAGGGCUGCUAAUCCGCGAGGAGGAGCGAAUCCCAAAAAGCCGGUCUCAGUUCGGAUUGGAGUCUGCAACUCGACUCCAUGAAGUCGGAGUCGCUAGUAAUCCCGGAUCAGCUACGCCGGGUGAAUACGUUCCCGGGCCUUGUACACACCGCGCAUA